CUUGCCGUGGCCUAGUGGCUAGGCGAUAGACUUGAACUAUUUUGGGAUUUUCCCGCGCAGAUUCGAGUCCUGCCGACAACU
rnacentral:tRNA from 1 species